GACGAACGCUGGCGGCGUGCUUAACACAUGCAAGUCGAACGAUGAAGCCGGAGCUUGCUCUGGUGAAUUAGUGGCGAACGGGUGAGUAACACGUGAGUAACCUGCCCUUGACUCUGGGAUAACUGCGGGAAACUGUAGCUAAUACCGGAUACGACCCUCGGAGGCAUCUCCUGGGGGUGGAAAGAAUUUCGGUCAAGGAUGGACUCGCGGCCUAUCAGCUAGUUGGUGGGGUAAAGGCUCACCAAGGCGACGACGGGUGGCCGGCCUGAGAGGGUGACCGGCCACACUAGGACUGAGACACUGCCCAGACUCCUACGUGAGGCAGCAGUGGGGAAUAUUGCACAAUGGGCGCAAGCCUGAUGCAGCAACGCCGCGUGAGGGAUGACGGCCUUCGGGUUGUAAACCUCUUUUAGCAGGGAAGAAGCGAAAGUGACGGUACCUGCAGAAAAAGCACCGGCUAACUACGUGCCAGCCGCCGCAGUAA
rnacentral:rRNA from 1 species